AGCAGUAAAUGAACCUGUAACAUCACAGGAGUGAGGCUGGCAGACAGUGAAUACACCUGUGACAUCAUAGGAGAGAAGUCAGCUAACAGUGAAGGAGCCAGGGACAUUACAGGAGCAAGGUUGGCUGGCAGGCGGUAGAGCAACAUGAACAAGCUUUUAAGGAAUUAAUCUGGUGUGGGAAACUGCUUCCUGGCAGCUCUGAGACUUGGGAGCUGAAUAUGUUGUUGUCUCUGCCCAGUCUAGAAGCAGAUCAUCUGUCCUUGUCAGGACUCCUGAGAGAUCCAGAAUCAAUGGAGCCAAAGGCUGUGUACCAAAGCUUCUGAAACUAUGAGCCGAAAUAAAAUACUUUCUCUUUCAGAGUGUCUCUCUCAGACAUUUAAUCACAGCAAUGGCCAAGUAACUUAUAUGGGCUGCAUGCCUGUAAAUACACACCUAGAUGUCAAAUGCUUGGGGGAGACCUAAUUAUUAAUGUUUAUAUAUUUAUAUGUUGUACUAAAUUAAAAUACUGGGGUGAGGGGGCGUGGAAUGGGAAUGUGGCUGCACAUAUUGAAUAUACAUUCUUGGGGCAAAGAUUGUAGAAGACUCCAGGAAAUGAGGCCAGGCUACAGAACCUCAAGGCCUGCCACUCUCUACUGACCUACUUCCUCCAGCCAAGUCCCGCCUCCCAAAGGCUCCAGAACCUUCCUAAGUUUCACUACUAAUUGAGAACCAAGCAUUUAAAUGUGAGCCUAUAGAAGGUAUUUCAUAUUCAGACCACAAACUCAGUGUUAACCACAGCUCUGUCUAUAGUCUGUAUCCCCUUCCUUUCGUGUGUGUGUGUGUGUGUGCGCGUGCGUGUGUGUGUGUGUGUGUGUGUGUGUGUGUGUGUGUGUGUGCGCAUGCGUGUGUGGCCCUGGCCUGGGAGCUCUUGGAGUUUCUCCCUUUUGCAACACCAACUCAUACAAAGCAGGUCUCCAGCAACUCCAGGCACACUCGUUCCCUGUAAUUAUUAAGCACAAAAGAUAUAACUCAAGGAGGCUAGGUCUGAAAGUACAAAUUCCACUUCCGCUAAGCACCUUACAUCUAGUCUGGCCACUGGGGUGGUGGAGGAUGACUCAGUAAAUGCAUUACUGACAAGAAUGUCAAACCAGUAGAAUGGCUAAAUAUUUUGAGCAACUUCUUUAAGUAGAUAUUUGGCUCCCUGGUGUCAUCUCUUAUAAACUGUUUGCCCAAGUUGGGCUACUUCAAAUUUGCUUCUCUGCAUUUUUAUUCUUUAUUUAUAGGCAUUUUUUUAAAGAUUUAUUUAUUUUAUGUAUAUGUAUACACAGCCACUGUCUUCAGACAUACCAGAAGAGGGCAUCAGAUCCAAUUACAGAUGGUUGUGAGCCACCACGUGGUUGCUGGGAAUUGAACUCAGGACCUCUGGAAGAGCAGUCGGUGCUCUUAACCACUGAGCCAUCUCUCAACCCCCUAUUUAUAGGCAUUUUUUUAUAGUAUUUGUCAGAUAUAUGCCUAUUCCUUCUGAAGUGUCUGAUGGGGUUGAAGACUAGAUAGUCAUAGUCUUACUCUAAGCAUAAGUAGUUUAGGAUUAGAAGAUGUUUGUCUAAGAAGAUGGUUUUAGGUUGAUAAUGCAAGUUGGGAUAGAAAUUGAUUUAGAUACAGAGCUCUGAACUUACCAGGAUAGGAUAGAUAGUAAAAUACUUUCUCCUGAGUUGCUGAACAUAAACAAAAUGGACUUUUGAAUGUAACUCUUCCCUAUUUUCAUAAUUAUUCAUAAUUUUUCCUACUGUAUGUUGUUUAUUAUUUUAAGAGAAAGAGCCUUUUUAGUUAGGAAAAAAGGGGAACUGUUGAGGUUUGGUCUGUUGCUAUGUAUGUGCACAAAGGGAUGCUAUGAGCCCUUGUUCCUUAAUUUAAAACUUUUGGUUGAAUAAAGAUGCUUACAGCCUAUAGCUAGAGAGGUAGGUAGAAUUUCAUUUCCUGGGCUUGGAUGUCUGAGGCAGGAAACCACAAGAGAUGAGGAAGAAGGUAGAGAGAGAAGACAACAUGGGGUGGGUGAAUUAUGAAAACAUGGCAUGAGGGCUAGCCAAGUAGAAUAAGAGUAGCCCAUGCGGAACUUGGCUAGUCAUAUUCUCGGGGUUAUUGGCAGGGAAGUAGACAUAAUACCAUAGAGGGUAGCUAUCUGCUCAGCUUUAAAACUGUCUAAGACUUAGUAUAAAUAAAAAGGUUUGUGUCUUUUAUCUGUGAACUAAAUGAUCUAAGGAGGGGUAGAAACCCCCAAACUAUGGCAUUUGCUCCCCCACCCCUUUACAAUUUGUCUGGUUCUUUAAAGAGAACAUUUCUUUAUUUAUUUUGGGGACAACAUUUCAUGCUGAAGUCUAGGCUGGUCUGGUACUCACAGACCUCAACUUCUGUCUGUUUGCCUCAACUUCUGAGUCCUGGAAUUCUAGACAUAGGUCAGGAUGCUUGACUACGCUCUAUAUUUUUCUUUUCUUUUCCUUUCUUUCCUCCUCCUCCUCCUCCUCCUCCUCCUCCUUCCCUCUUCCUCCUCCUUUCCUCCUCCUCCUCCUUUCCUCCUUUUCCUCCUCCUUCUCUUUCUUCUUUGACAGGGUCUCUCUAUUAUGUCCUUGAGUGUCCUGGAAUUUGCUAUGUAGACCAGACUGCCCUCAAACUCACAAAAGUCCACCUACCUCAGCCUCUCAGUUCUGGGAUUAAAGACAUGAGUCAUGAUGCCCAGAUUUUAUUUAUUUUUCUUAAGAAAAUAUCUCCAUGAACUGGAAUUUUAAUUUUCACUUAAAAGAUUUAACUUGUUUGGGGGGAGCAGUACUAAGAUUGAACCCAAGGCUUCCCAUAUGCUGGGUAAGCAACCCACCACUGGCCUAUACCACAGCCUUCCUUCCUUUUACCUUUUACACGAAUGCAUACAGUUAUCAAAUCCCAUUCAUCUGGACAGCCAAGGGCAACACAUUCCAUUUUAUGCCGCCUACACCUCGGUUUAGAUACAUGUUCUAAAGGCUGGGACUGUGACCCCUCCCCUACAUAGUGAAGCUUCUCCCUUUCUGUGGAUGGCUUCGCAAUGGAGUGGAGGAGGGAGACAGCAUGCCGAGCUCUUGCUCCUCCCCGUUCCUGAGUUUGUGAGAUAGAUUCCUCCAAAACCUUGGCUGGGAGGUUUGCAUUCAAAAACCAACUGAAUACAUCUUGGGACUUCUGCGGGCACCCCUCCCCCUCUGUUUGGAAAGCAUUUUUCCAAACUGUGGUGCAUUUUUCCUGAGCACACUGUAUUUAGAAGGCAGUCGACAUUUGCAUAAAAUUAGGCCGUAGCCCACCUGCUCAAGGAUUGUGUAAGAACCAACACCCACUCAUUGGAGUGUGGCAUGUGAACUUGUGCACUUAGGUUGUGAGCUCUUCCAAAUAACGUUCAAUAGCCCUGUGUUUUUGACACUGAGGGGGAAAUCACAGGUACUAUCCAUUUUAGGGGAACUGAGUUGCCUGGGGCUUUAAAUUUGCAUCCCUGUGGCAUCCCGCUGUAGAUAAGCAAGGUUGUGUGAAUAGUUUCAGGGAGUGUGGGCUAGAAGGAAAGGAGUUUGAUUAUUUCACCCUGAUAUCUUCACUACUGAAGACCACUUGUAACAGUGAAGCAGCUGGAGGGGUAACAUGAUUCAUAUUAAUAUAUGCAUGCAAAUGGGUUAGAAUGGAAUUAGCAUAAUUCCUGCGCUUUGGUUUUCCCUCGGAAGUUGAGACUAUUGGUUUAUUUACAGUCUGCAGUGAGACCAGCCAGGCACUUACGUUGCUGACAGAUGGUAGGGAAGAGAAGGCCAUGUGCUGUGGCUCAAUGGGUGAAUGUUAACAUUAGAGUGUGUGGGUACAGCUCUUCAAAGAGGCCGGAGCCAGGAGAGAAAGCCUGGGAAAACAAAGGCUCCCUUUGUCUAGAGUUCUCCGCCAGUCCAUUGACUCCCUUUCUCAUAGUUAUCCCUACCAGGGUUUUAGAGAGAAGGGGAGUUGAGAGACACAGGGGUGGGCAGAUGGGCAGGGGUGUGCCAGGACCAGGGCAGAAUCCUGUAUGAGGAAGGAAUGGAGAGGAGGGUAGGAACUUUCACCCAGUAAGAAGCUGGGUUCUAAAAUGCUGGAAACAAAAGCCAAGCCAGGAGAACAGUUCCCAAGCCUGGCCAGUCAGACACUAUUCUGGAGGGAAAGGGUUGAGGAGACAAAGAGCAGACUGGGAGACAGGACGUGGGGUACCCUGAGAGACUCUGAGAUCCCUGAUAUUGAGAGGAGGCCCUAGCCCAUUUGUGAAAUACUGUGGCCAGCCAGGGAUAGAGAAGCCUGUAGCUAGAAGGUGAGUGCUUAGGCAGGCCUGGGCAGGAAACUCAGGUAGUUUGUAAUUGCAUUCCCUCUUUGGCCUCCCAUCACAACCCAUGUCUUCUCAGGCCAAGCUCAACCCCCAUAAACAAUUUCACACACACAGAAGACAAGUAAACCCCACCCCUCACUCUAUUUCUUUGUGUGUCCAGAGGAGGACACACCAGUAAGUACAGAAAUAAACCACAAGUGUUACAAGAAUGGUUGUCCCCACAUUUGGAAACAUGGAGUAAGGAGAAAAAUAGUUCCAGUAACACCUAAUUGUAGGUUCUCAAUAUGUAUUGAUACAUAUUCUGGUGAAUGAAUGUGCAGUUUAGAAAGUGUGUUUCAUUCUUCUGUAAUCUGUCUUCAUAGUUAGCAUGAUUUAUGACACAUAUAACCUUUUGCUUCUUACCACAAGUGUAUGUGUUAUAAGCAACUGCGUGCACAGGCGUGUUUGUCUGUGCACAUGUGUAUGAAGACCUGAGGUUGAGUUAGGGUAUCUUUUUCUACUGUUCUUCACCUUGUGGUUGAUAGCUCUCACUGAACUUAGAGCUUGUGGGUUUGCCUAGACUGGAAAACAACCUCUUAGCACCCCCAGUCUGGGGUGGUAGGUAUGAGCUACCACAUCUGGCUUGUAAGUAGGUUCUAGGGACCCCAUUCAGAUACACAUGAUUGUAUAGCAUACACUUUACCCACGGAAUCAUCUCGCAGCCCCUCACGAUGGUGGUUUAGAAUGGUUAUAAGCCUCCAUUUCUUUGCAUGGAACCCAUCGGCUUCUCUGAGGCAUCAGGAAAUGCACUUUGACUUCCUUCACUGAAUUUCCCAUGACCUUAUACUUUCUGUGAGGUUAACUGUAUUGGUCAGGAAAACAGGGUGAGUCUUACCAGCUCCGGAUGAAACCCUGGGGCCCGGCAUUGGUUAGCGAGUCCGUGAGGGCAGAAGAUGCAAGAUAUUUUGCAUAAAGCAUGGCUAUUUUCAGAAGAGGUUAUGGAGUCGUGCGUUUCUCUCUGGCCCCAAGUUCUGUGACGGUGCCUGGGCCUGGCCAUUCUGAACACAAGUGUUAAGGGCAGUGAACAUGCACACAUUUGCUCUUACCUCAAAGACUCCAGUGCCACUGACUACCUCCCAUGCCAGCCUCCCUCUGCUGACCAUCUCCGAAAUUCUGCUGUGGUGCUGAGAGUAGACAAGCUUUGCUAGCACUCACAGUGCCCCUAGAGGUUAACGUUAACCUUAGUUUCCACAUCAGGAACUUGAGACUCAGGAGGCAUCUGAACUAAGAUUUUUAUUCAAAGCUGCCCUGUUCCAAAGCCCAUUCUUUUCGAUUACUAAAGCCUUUAUGAUCCUGGUAGUUUCCCAAUAAAGGAAAACCAUGUGAAGCAGAAUUAAGGGUCAUGCUAACAUCUUGCCUUUGUUAUUGAAAUGUGGGUCGGUAGCAAUAGAGAUUUGAUAGACAAUUACCCACGAAUGGCAGAGGGACCUGCUAAUGACAACCAAGAGGACAGAGAGGAACCGUGAUUAGACUCUUUGGCUCGCUGUGCAGAAAUCUAAGGGGAAAAACAAAAGAAAAUAAAAGUGAUGUCAGGAGGGUCAUUCGUCUUUAUUUUUGUAGCUUAGUAUCUGACCCGCCUCUUAUGUUCGGCAUUCCUGAGUUAAGUGCUCUAAUUUCCAAGGUAAGAUGAACCUCCCAACUUCUCCCUCUCUUUUAAAAAUAACAACUAUGGGGGCUGAGACAUAGCUUGGUGGUUAAGAACAAUUACUGCUCUUACAGGAAAUCUGAGUGGAAUCUGCAGCACUGUCGUCAAGGAGCUUACACCUGAGUGUAACGCCAGCUCCAGGGCAGCUAAUGAAGUCCUCACUCCAUAAGAUGGACUCAGAACUACGUAUAAUUAUUUGCUCUGCAACCUUCCAGC